rnacentral:lncRNA from 1 species
GUGGACAGGUUGUUGGGCUUGCUGGGACUGCCUCUGGUAACUAAGGCCUGUGGGCUGGUGGGAGGAACCCUCUAUCAAGCUCCCAGUGCACAGCAGUCUGGGUCCCUCAACCCCUCAUUCUAAUAAGCAGCAGUAGGCCAGAAAUGAGUGACCCAGAAAAGGCAGGCCUGAGCCAACCUUGAGAUCCUCAAAGACUGUAUUUGGUGUAUACCUCAAGCUGCCUUUCAUCCUCACUGUUAACUUCAACCCUUGAUCAGUUGGCAACCUCUAGCUGGAAUAAGGUUCAUCCUGCUAGGCACUAGGUUGUGGGGGGGGGCAAGUAUAGUGGAAAUAAAAUUCUGGUAGAAGGCCUGGCCUGUUCCUUGGUAACCCACUGCCUGGCUGGUGAAUUGGCAACUCACUAGUACCGUGGCAUCCUCAGCUGCAAUACCGGGGGCCUGCCACUUUGCCCCUGGUCAUUAGAGGUUGACCAAAGGCUCUGGAGGGCAGCAGAGGGAGCGAGCCAACGUGUAAGGGGCAGGCCAUGCACAGGCUGUCAACACGACUGUUCA